UGGAGAGUGCUUCCCUCCGCAGCACACCGUUGGACCUUGCUUCGUCACAGUCAUUAAGAGCUGAAGAGAGGAGAGGCCCAGAGAGGUUAAAAGAGAUGCCAACUAGAGGGAGUGACGUUCCUGUCCCGAUUGGCCCAGGAGCAGGGGUGGCCUGGGAGCCUCCAGGUGGGACGUUCCAGAGAGGCAGCUGGGAGCGGCGGGGAACAGAGCCUCAGCUAUUGUGUUUGGAAUAUUCACUGCACUUGACGUUUCUGAGUUGGGACAACCCCUGCCUGCUCCCUUCCUCCAGGAAUCAGCCUUUGUGGACCUGUCCACAGGAUCUGUGAAUAGAAAUUCACUGUUGGUAGUAGAAUCGCCCAUCAGCUAUCACCUUCCAUUGUGAACAUCAAAACCGACACAUCCGGUCAGUGAGUUUUUCUGUGCCUCUAAACAUAAACAAUCAUGUAAAUCCAAGC